rnacentral:rRNA from 1 species
UUAAUAGGGGGGAGGACUAUAGCGGCGGAGGUCGGUGUCUAUUAUACGAAGGAGAAUCUGCGGGCCCGCCGCUUGUCGGCCGCCGGGGGGGCGCCUUUGCCCCCCGGGCCCGUGCCCGCCGGAGACCCCAACACGAACACUGUCUGAAAGCGUGCAGUCUGAGUUGAUUGAAUGCAAUCAGUUAAAACUUUCAACAAUGGAUCUCUUGGUUCCGGCAUCGAUGAAGAACGCAGCGAAAUGCGAUAACUAAUGUGAAUUGCAGAAUUCAGUGAAUCAUCGAGUCUUUGAACGCACAUUGCGCCCCCUGGUAUUCCGGGGGGCAUGCCUGUCCGAGCGUCAUUGCUGCCCUCAAGCCCGGCUUGUGUGUUGGGUCGCCGUCCCCCUCUCCGGGGGGACGGGCCCGAAAGGGGCCGGCGGCACCGCGUCCAAUCCGGGACCGUAUGGGGCUUUGUCACAUGCUCUGAAGGAUUGCCCCCCCCCCUCCAAAGGUUUUAAACAAUUUUUUGGGGGGUACGCCGAAAAGGUACGGAUAUCCCGGUGAACUUAAGCCCAUGGUUAAACGCGAAAAGCAUCAUUACCGAGUGCGGGUCCUUGGGCCAACUCCAUCCUGUCUAUAUACCCGUUGCUUCGGCGGGCCCGC